rnacentral:rRNA from 1 species
UACGUUCCCGGGCCUUGUACACACCGCCCGUCACACCACGAAAGCCGGCAACACCCGAAGCCGGUGGCCCAACCCGCAAGGGAGGGAGCCGUCGAAGGUGGGGUUGGUGAUUGGGGUG